ensembl:lncRNA
UAUCCAACAAAUCCCCAAAUUUCACCAUGUCUACCAUCUUCAGAUAUCAACCAGACUCUCUUCUCUAUCCAAAUCAUCAUCAUAUCUUACCCAGGAUUCCUACUCCUCUCUCCAAUGGUCUCCUAGUCAGUUUUCCUGUUUCUAGUACUUGCUGCCUUAAAAUCUGUUCUCCAGCUGACAGAAUGGUCUUUCUAGGCCACGAGUCUGAUCACGUCACCCCAGUGCUUAAAAUUCACUAAUACUUCUUAUGUCCUCAAGAAAAGACCAGAUUCCCUAGCACAGCUUCCGAGGCAUUUCUUGAUCUAGCUGCUGCCUACCUCUCCAGCCUUACCUCCUUGCAACUGUUCUCUUCAUUCCAGCCACACGUCAUUUCCAGUUCUUCAGAUGUACCGUGUUUCUCUCUUGCCUCUGGGUCUUAGUCCACUGUAGUUUCCCUGCCUAGAAUAUGCCCUUUCCUCACUUUUUGACUUGGCACUUGUUAUUUGAGUGUCAGGUUAGGUACUACAAUUUCCUUGAGAGAUUUUCCCUGUCCCCAGACUUGGUAAUGUGCCCCUGGUAGGUGUUCCCAGAGCCAAUCUGUACUUCCCCCUGCAUUACACUCAACCCAGUAUGGACUCUCCCCUCACUAGCCUGUAGUUCUGUGAAGCAAGACUACAGCUCGCUUGUUCAUCACUAUGUUCUCAUGGCCAUGUAGUGCUGGUCCACAGUGACACUCAACGAGUAUCUGUUGAAUAAAUGAACAUGCAGUUGAUUCUUAAACUCCCAUCUCGGAUCCUCCUAACUUUGUCCUCAAGAUUCAGUUCCACAACUCCAGUCACCUGAUGGACAUCUUAUCAGCACCUAAACUGAGUAUGUACAAAAUGGACAGAGAUCAUCUUCUUUCUCGCAUCGACUCUCUUCCAAACCUAGUAGAGUAGAAAGAACAGAGGCGUGGGAGCAGAUGGCUGCAAUGCCCUGGUAUAUACCCUAUCAGCUAUACAGCUGUAGACAAAUCUUUCCCUGAGCCUUAGUGUUCUCAUCUCUGAAAUAAGGACAAAAGUACCAACCUGAUAGGAUUAGGAUAAAAUUGAAUGAGGUACUCUAUGUGAAAUGCCUGGCAAAUGGCAUAGAAGUAAUAAAUGGCCCCUGAGUUCAAAAGUCUGGAGUUAUUUUUGCUCCUCAGCAGCCACCCCCUAUCAUGCAGGCAGUUCCUGCGUCCCCUCUCUUGACUCUGUCUAGUGUUCUCCAUUCCCACUGCCCCCCUCAUGUGGGCCCUCUUCACCUCCUUCCUGGACUAUCAGAGUAGCUCUAACGGCUUCGCCAGCUCUGGUUUUCUCACUGCCCAAACCACCCCACCCACUGAUACCAGACUAGGCAUCUUACAGGACACACCCUAUCGUCACUCUCCCGACCAAAACUCUUCAGCUGCUCCCUAAUGACUCAGUAUAAAGUUUAAAUCAUUUAGUCAUACGACAUUCAGAGCCCUCCCGGACCUGGCCUCAACAGACCUUUGCUGCCUUAUCUUCUCAUUAGUCACUUUUACACACACUGUUGCCCAGCAACGACAAAUCAGUAACUGCCCGCUCCGUACACCGGUAUUUCCCAUCCCUCUCUACGCCUUUGUUCCUGCUUCCUUAACUCCGACACUCUCCCUCCAAGUCCUCAAGUCCAACACUGACUUUGGGUCAAUGUCCAGCUCAAAUGCUCCUUAGUCUUUGAUGCACUUCUCGAUCACCCCAGCCAUAGAUAAUCUCUCUUUUCUACAAACAUGUGGUGUGUUUAAUUUACAUAUCUCUCUACUUUUAUACACUUCUCUCUCUUCUCUCUGUUUACCCUAAUUUUAUCUGCACACAGAACUUAGCUCCAAGCUCUCUGAGGGCAGCAUCAUGUCCCGGCCCACACUGUCAUGCUCAAAAAAAGCACGCAGGAAACGGAAGCUGACUGCAGAGAGCUACAGAGGAGGUCAGCCUUCAGGGUCUGCAAUCAAGCAGGUUAGCUGCUGAUCAGCUCCGAGAACAGUGCCUGGCGCAGAGCAACACUCCACACAUCACUGUUCAAUGAACUUCUCCACGAGGGCCAUCAGCUAUUGGCUAUAGGCUAGAAAGUCUGACCCCAUGGAAUAAAACACGAAAGAGAUGUGAAGAAGCCUUUUCUCUCCCAUUAUAUACUUGGAGAUGCAGGCAAGCUCCAAGUUCAUUACCUCCCACAGACUCUACAGCUAUUCUCAGCAAUAAAUAUGGCAUGUAAUGCUUUAGUACAUUAUGUCAAACUGCUCAAUUUUAACAUGUAAAUAAGAAUCAUUCUUCAAAUAGCCUCAUUUGGAGAAUACAGAGUUAUUCCAACAAUGUCCACAACCUUUUAAAGACUCACCUUUUAGAUAGCCACAACUUCUUUCCAUAAAAAAGGAAGAAGAAGAAAGAUAUCUAUUAUAGAACGAACACCUUUUCUCCUAAGGCUUUCAACUGGCUGAGAAUUAAAGAAUUUCAGAAAUAAAUUCCCGUCUCCUCAUCCUUAAAAUAGAAGAGAUUUUUCAGGGCUUUCCUUUCCAAAAUUCUAUUACGUAAGCCACUUUACAAAUCAUAUAUACAACAAUUCUCAUUUUUCCACCAAAUUUUAUUUUAGCCCCCCUUGGGCUCUAGCAACACCAUGUGUACCUUGUUACAGUACUUCUCAGGCUAUAAUGUUAUCUCUUUCUAUGUCAUUUAUCCCACUAAACUGCGUCUUCCUGGAGGGCCAGGUGCAUGAGGUGCUCCCUUUCGAACCUGCAGUACUUACUCCUGGAAUGCAGCAGGUGGCUCAGCAAAUGUUCGCAUGAAUCAAUGACUCAAACCAGUUAUUUGACCACAAACUGAUUCACCACACCUAACUCCUGCCUCCUUCCCACCCUCAAAGGUCAGAGAGUUUCCACCUCUAGGGAUAAUAAAAAAAGAUGGAAGGCUCUUAAGCCAAUGGCAAGCAGUUCUAAAUGUGUCCCUGGCAAAGAUGGCGUCACUGUCAUAGAAGUUUAAAUUCCUCCUAGCUAACACGGUACUUGAAGGUGGCAACAUUCACUUACAUGUCUGUGUGUCUUCUGCUAUGUGAGUUAAAAUAUUCAUCACAUUACUUCAGAGUCACACUCUGUAGAUGUGCCUCAUUUCACUCAUUUAUUUAGUCCCCCUGAAACAAACACUGAUGGGUAAAACUGAGUUAGUAUAAAUCACACUGUAAAAAGGAUAGUUAGUCGAGCAUCUUACGGAAUACCUAAAUUUGUUACAGAAAAAAACAAAAAGACCUGCCUGUUUGGCACUGGGUACUUAGGAAGUGAUCCACUUUUCAGGUAUCAUCCAAUCAGACAGACCGACAUCAGCGUCUCCAGAACCUACACAUGGCUCGCUCGUCCCAGAUCCUACAGCAUAGGCACAGCUAUGUUGCCAAGAAAGCUCUUUACAAAGUGGAAGACAAAUCUGAGAAAAACUCUAAAUAAAACUACAGACAGGACUCUCAUAUUUGGGCUUUCCAAACAUAUUGUUAUGGCUUUAAGAAACAGCACAUUUCC